rnacentral:rRNA from 1 species
AGUGAACGCUGGCGGUAGGCCUAACACAUGCAAGUCGAACGGCAGCACAGUAAGAGCUUGCUCUUACGGGUGGCGAGUGGCGGACGGGUGAGGAAUACAUCGGAAUCUACUUUUUCGUGGGGGAUAGCGUAGGGAAACUUACGCUAAUACCGCAUACGACCUACGGGUGAAAGCAGGGGAUCUUCGGACCUUGCGCGAUUGAAUGAGCCGAUGUCGGAUUAGCUAGUUGGCGGGGUAAAGGCCCACCAAGGCGACGAUCCGUAGCUGGUCUGAGAGGAUGAUCAGCCACACUGGAACUGAGACACGGUCCAGACUCCUACGGGAGGCAGCAGUGGGGAAUAUUGGGCAAUGGGCGCAAGCCUGAUCCAGCCAUACCGCGUGGGUGAAGAAGGCCUUCGGGUUGUAAAGCCCUUUUGUUGGGAAAGAAAAGCAGCAGGUUAAUACCCCGCUGUUCUGACGGUACCCAAAGAAUAAGCACCGGCUAACUUCGUG